GAUGAACGCUGGCGGCGUGCCUAAUACAUGCAAGUCGAGCGAACGGACGAGAAGCUUGCUUCUCUGAUGUUAGCGGCGGACGGGUGAGUAACACGUGGAUAACCUACCUAUAAGACUGGGAUAACUUCGGGAAACCGGAGCUAAUACCGGAUAAUAUUUUGAACCGCAUGGUUCAAAAGUGAAAGACGGUCUUGCUGUCACUUAUAGAUGGAUCCGCGCUGCAUUAGCUAGUUGGUAAGGUAACGGCUUACCAAGGCAACGAUGCAUAGCCGACCUGAGAGGGUGAUCGGCCACACUGGAACUGAGACACGGUCCAGACUCCUACGGGAGGCAGCAGUAGGGAAUCUUCCGCAAUGGGCGAAAGCCUGACGGAGCAACGCCGCGUGAGUGAUGAAGGUCUUCGGAUCGUAAAACUCUGUUAUUAGGGAAGAACAAAUGUGUAAGUAACUAUGCACGUCUUGACGGUACCUAAUCAGAAAGCCACGGCUAACUACGUGCCAGCAGCCGCGGUAAUACGUAGGUGGCAAGCGUUAUCCGGAAUUAUUGGGCGUAAAGCGCGCGUAGGCGGUUUUUUAAGUCUGAUGUGAAAGCCCACGGCUCAACCGUGGAGGGUCAUUGGAAACUGGAAAACUUGAGUGCAGAAGAGGAAAGUGGAAUUCCAUGUGUAGCGGUGAAAUGCGCAGAGAUAUGGAGGAACACCAGUGGCGAAGGCGACUUUCUGGUCUGUAACUGACGCUGAUGUGCGAAAGCGUGGGGAUCAAACAGGAUUAGAUACCCUGGUAGUCCACGCCGUAAACGAUGAGUGCUAAGUGUUAGGGGGUUUCCGCCCCUUAGUGCUGCAGCUAACGCAUUAAGCACUCCGCCUGGGGAGUACGACCGCAAGGUUGAAACUCAAAGGAAUUGACGGGGACCCGCACAAGCGGUGGAGCAUGUGGUUUAAUUCGAAGCAACGCGAAGAACCUUACCAAAUCUUGACAUCCUCUGACCCCUCUAGAGAUAGAGUUUUCCCCUUCGGGGGACAGAGUGACAGGUGGUGCAUGGUUGUCGUCAGCUCGUGUCGUGAGAUGUUGGGUUAAGUCCCGCAACGAGCGCAACCCUUAAGCUUAGUUGCCAUCAUUAAGUUGGGCACUCUAAGUUGACUGCCGGUGACAAACCGGAGGAAGGUGGGGAUGACGUCAAAUCAUCAUGCCCCUUAUGAUUUGGGCUACACACGUGCUACAAUGGACAAUACAAAGGGUAGCGAAACCGCGAGGUCAAGCAAAUCCCAUAAAGUUGUUCUCAGUUCGGAUUGUAGUCUGCAACUCGACUAUAUGAAGCUGGAAUCGCUAGUAAUCGUAGAUCAGCAUGCUACGGUGAAUACGUUCCCGGGUCU
rnacentral:rRNA from 1 species